rnacentral:misc_RNA from 1 species
UCUCCGUUGGUAAACCAGCGGAGGGAUCAUUACAGAGUUUUCACAACUCCCAGCCCUUGCGAACCGUACCCAUUCUGUUCUCGUUGCUUCCGGCGGGGGGGACGGGGGGGCCCGAAACGGCCUCCCCGCCCCGCCCGCCGGGGGCGGCGGGCCCUACGCACCUUUAUAUCUCAACCACCAGAAACCGUCUGAGAAAACAAACAAAAUAAUUAAAACUUUCAACAACGGAUCUCUUGGCUCUG